AACGAACGCUGGCGGCAUGCCUAACACAUGCAAGUCGAACGAGACCUUCGGGUCUAGUGGCGCACGGGUGCGUAACGCGUGGGAACCUGCCCUUAGGUUCGGAAUAACUCCCCGAAAGGGGUGCUAAUACCGGAUAAUGUCUUCGGACCAAAGAUUUAUCGCCUUUGGAUGGGCCCGCGUUGGAUUAGCUAGUUGGUAGGGUAAAAGCCUACCAAGGCGACGAUCCAUAGCUGGUCUGAGAGGAUGAUCAGCCACACUGGGACUGAGACACGGCCCAGACUCCUACGGGAGGCAGCAGUGGGGAAUAUUGGACAAUGGGCGAAAGCCUGAUCCAGCAAUGCCGCGUGAGUGAAGGCCUUAGGGUUGUAAAGCUCUUUUACCCGGGAUGAUAAUGACAGUACCGGGAGAAUAAGCUCCGGCUAACUCCGUG
rnacentral:rRNA from 1 species